GACAGAGGGGUGCAAACGUUGUUCGGAAUUACUGGGCGUAAAGGCGCGUGUAGGCGGCUUGGCAAGUCGGGUGUGAAAGCCCUGGGCUCAACCCAGGAAGUGCACUCGAAACUGCUUCGCUCGAGUAUCGGAGAGGAAAGCGGAAUUCUCGGUGUAGAGGUGGAAAUUCGAUAGAUAUCGAGAGGAACACCGGUGGCGAAGGCGGCUUACUGGACGAUUUCUGACGCUGAGAGCGAAUGCGUGGGGAGCAAACAGGUC
rnacentral:rRNA from 1 species